UACGUAGGGUGCAAGCGUUAAUCGGAAUUACUGGGCGUAAAGCGUGCGCAGGCGGUUUUGUAAGUCUGUCGUGAAAUCCCCGGGCUUAACCUGGGAAUUGCGAUGGAGACUGCAAGGCUGGAGUCUGGCAGAGGGGGGUAGAAUUCCACGUGUAGCAGUGAAAUGCGUAGAUAUCUGGAGGAACACCGGUGGCGAAAGCGGCUCACUGGAUCGAUACUGACGCUGAGGUGCGAAAGCUAGGGUAGCAAACGGG
rnacentral:rRNA from 1 species